UUCGUCAAAUUAAAAAUACAAGAGUUAUAAAUGAAAAUGAUGUUGGUAUCCAUAAUUUGAGAAAAUUCGUCAAAUAUUUUUUCCAUUAGAAGGAUGUAAUUUCAUAUAUCAGAACAUCCUUUUUUAUUCCAAACCACAUUUUAAAUAACAAUUUUCCAAUAUUGUAAAAUAAAUAAUACAUACAUGAUAAAGAUACAUUUUACUGAUGAACUUUACUUGGAUCUACAGACCGAGCGAGUCUCGUAAAUUCCACGGAUUUGCGCCACGCUUCACGCAACCGUAUUUACGUAUUUGUAUUUUGAGUUGUGUGGUCGUGCGCUGGUCGAGUGGAGUUAAAUUUACCAAAUUUAAAUAUAAUCGUUUCUACUGAUUCAUUAUUAAUAUAGUAUAAUAUGUAUUAUUGCUUUCAAAAUAUACUCAAAUUGUAUUUUUAUACAUUUAUUACACAUAUUAUUUUAUAUAAUAAUUAAAUUCACUAUAAAAUGUCAUUUAUAUUUUAUUAAUAGCCAAAUAAUUUAAAAUUUAAUUUGACAUUCACGAAGUGUCAAACUCAAAUGUAAAUAAUAACAUUUGCUUUGCUUAACAAAUUCAGAUUAAAAAAGUAGCCUACUUCCUAAUCAAAGAUUUCAGCUGACGUUUAGUGCGUGGUAGGAAAUAACCGGAUUGUGACGUCACAUUUUAGAGUUUGAGGUCGAUUAUCUCGAAGACGGUUAGAGAUAUCGAAAUGCCGUUUUCAGAUUUGGAUUGAGAAGACAAAACUACAUAAGAAUCCAUCGAUACAUCUGCUCUAAGUAUUGCAGGAGCGGCAACGCAAUAACACACAGACUUUUGCAAAUUUAUAAACGAAAAGUUUUCGUUGAAAAUAAGAUCAUAUUAUUUACCCAACUAUAACAUUCCGUUAACUUCUAAUCAUUUUUAUUGUUAUGCGAUUUAAAUUUUAAUAAUGUUCUGUUAUUAAAUUCUACUUGAAACAAUUACUAAUAAAUAUUUCGUCUUUCACUGACGUCAUCACAAACCUAUAGAUUAGCAGACCUGUACGUUUUGUACCUUGUGUACUCCUGGCGGUAAACCCCUGAAAAGUAUUGUGACAUGGUCGGCGUAGAACGGAAAAUAAGAUAUCACUUUGGUCGAAGCCUUCAACCGAAUAAGUACCUAGUGGCAGAUAACCUAUCCACGUAAAAGUGGCGAAUAUUUCAUUCUUGUUUCAAGUCAUAGUAUUAUUUUGAAAAGAAACUAUCCAAGUUUAUUACGUAUGUGUUUAGUGGGCUGAAGAAACGAGGUUGGAGGUUCGCAACAGUGAGUUGUGGUUUAUCUGCCACUGGGGAAAAUCUUUUAACUACUCCUACCACCUGAGAAGGACCGCUUUUCGACCAAGUCACCUAGGGGACAAGUACUAGAGGAACAUGUAAUUUUUGUUCGUCAUUAUCCUGCAUUUUGGAGAAUUGCCGUGUUAUGGUUGACUGCGUAGCACCAUUCUGUGCUUAAGACUUUACUGAGAAGUAGUAAGGAAAACUUGUGGGGACAAUAUCAGGUCAAUCGGGUUUGUUUCGUGAACUUUUUAUAUUUAACAGUGCAGUAGUUAUCUACCUAUACCAGUACACUUAUACACUUAUUUUUUUUAUAAUAUCCAGAACAUUUAAGUAAUUAACAUACACAUAAUUCAAUAGAGCUCCCACACCUGUAUGUCUCUUUGUAAAAGAGGAUAAUUUGGGCCCAAAUAACCUUUUCCCAUACAGUAGUUCCUUACAUUUAUUUUUUAUUAAUAUUAUUAGACUUGUUUCCCAUAUUUUUCAUAUAACUAUAUAUAUCUUUUAAUAUUAUUAGCUUGUUUCUUGUAAUUUAAAUUCCCAAUCUGUUUGCUUAACUUAAAUUCAUUUGUUAUUAAAUUAAAUUCAAUCCCUAAUCCCUAUCCCUUCAGGAUAGCUAUUAGUUUUACUUGGUCAUUAUUAAAAACCACGAGUCAGAAAAAGGAUCUUUAUCAUCCAGGACUGCGUUGGUUCAGUUAGGUGUUGCCUAUUCAACUCAUUGAGUUAUAUAUAUUUGUAUGGUUCAUCCUAGGUAGGUAUUUUAGUAUUGAUUUCUUGUAGUAUUUAACGUUGCUGUACGUAUUACAAUCGUACGAUUAUUUGGUGAAGGUUGUUGUUUAACCUUAGUGUAAGUUGGGGGUACGCUCCAUAUAAGAGCUACCCCAGUACUAAUGUAAUUAUAGUUGUAUACUCAUAUUCAGAUAAGUAGUUAAGUCAAAUUGUCAUUUUAGAGCUACAUAGGUUGUAUUUUUUCUAACUCAGAGGUUGUCAAUAAUCUAGGUAGUUAUAUUUUAAUAAAUAUUUAUUUGUUUGUA